ACUCUGACUGGGGGUGGAAGAGGAAUGAACAAGUCCACCCCAGCGUAAAAAUAAGAUGAAAAUAUAAAAGAAUGUCAGUGUUGAAGGUUACUCCUUUUGAUUUUGCCAAUAUCCCGGAACCAUGUGAGCACAUGAACAUUCCAAAGAAGAAGAUACCUCCAGGUUCUUCAGAUGAGUCUCACUCUGUUGCCCAGGCUGGAAUACACUGGCACCGUCUCAGCUCACUGCAACCUCCGACUCCCUGGUUCAAGCGAUUCUCCUGCCUCAGCCUCCCAAGUAGCUGGGAUUACAGUUUCUCUAAGGCAAUCAGACUGCAGAACCUAGUCCUCUUGUGUGCCCAGAAAGAAAAUGAAAAGGACUUCAAGAACCACUCAGGAUUGUCCCUGCUACAGGAAAUAAGGAGAGGCUUUCUGGAAGAGGAAGAAAUUAAUCAAGCCUAGAAAGAUUAAGAUUUAUCAGGAUUAGCAAUCAACUGAGCAGUGGAAUUUUAUGAAAUGCCUGAAGAUAAGAAUAUGGAAUGCUCACUCCACAACAUUGUUUGUGAAAAUCUUCAGAUUUAUUUUAUUGAACAAGGCUAUAAAAGUAUUUACAGAGGAGAGGGAAAGAGAGCACAGUGGAGAGAUGCCUUGGGAGAGAGCUGUUACUGGCCAUGGUGUCAUUCUUCUUCCACAGGGAGAAGCAGAUCCAAACUGAGAAGGGAGAAGAUGUGAUAGUUGAUAUCACAACAAGCUUGAGUUUUGAUUAAUAUCUUGGACAGGACAUUCUAUGUUCCAAAUAGAGAUUGUGUGUUACAAAGUGACUGCAGGACCAAAAAUGAGUAGCAAAUUCAUGAACCUCUUAGAUUUUUUUAAUUUAGGACAUGAUGAGAUUACUGCCAGUGACUCAACUUUUAAAAUACAAGGAAUAACUAAAUAAAUAAAGUAAAAUUGCACUUU